CCAGCUUGUCCGGAGUUUUGGGCUGGGUUGCCAUCAGUAUGCUGAUGACAUCCAACUCUAUCUGUUGAUGGAUGGCUAUCCUGACUCGGCCCCAGACACACUGAUCAGAUGUUUGGAAGCUGUGGCUGGAUGGUUACGUGGGAGCCGGUUGAAGUUAAAUCCUUCAAAGACAGAGGUCCUUUGGCUGGGUCGGGACGAUAUGGGAUCGAGGGGGCA